CAUAGCGACUAUCGUGGCAUAUCAAUAAGCGGAGGAAAAGAAACUAACAAGGAUUCCCUAGUAACGGCGAGUGAAGCGGGAAGAGCUCAAAUUUGAAAUCUUCAAGGUUUUCCCUUGGACGAAUUGUAGUUUAAAGAAGUGUUUUCUGUUAGAGAGUUUGGUAAAAGUUCUUUGGAAUAGGACAUCAUAGAGGGUGAGAAUCCCGUAUUUGACCAUUCUUUCCAGCUGUGUGAUACACUUUCAACGAGUCGGAUUGUUUGGGAAUGCAGUCCAAAAUGGGUGGUAAAUUUCAUCUAAAGCUAAAUAUUGGCGAGAGACCGAUAGCGAACAAGUACCGUGAGGGAAAGACUGAAAAGAACUUUGAAAAGAGAGUUAAACAGUACGUGAAAUUGUCAAAAGGGAAGCGUUUGACACCAGUGUUGUUUUUCCGAAAAUCAAUUACGAAUGUUUUGUUUUUAAGAGAGUUAUGACUUCAUCGGCUUGCUUCUCUUCUUUACGAAACUUUCUUAAUGCACUUUUCGGUUAACAAGUCAACAUCAAUUUCUUUUGUUGUAAAAGGAGUCAUUGGAAGGUGGCUUUCAUUUCGGUGAAAGUGUUUAUAGCCUUUGGACUUCUACAAUCGGAGAGAUUGAGGUCUGCAGCGUAGAUCCUUCGGGGUUAGAUACAGUUAGAUGCUAAGUUAUAGUUUUUCAUAGACAACAUGUUGACUAUGAUUAAUCAUGUAGCUUACUCGCUUAUGCUAUUUUACCUACGCUUAGGAUGUUGAUAUGCAUGACUGAUAU
rnacentral:rRNA from 1 species